GACGAACGCUGGCGGCGUGCCUAAUACAUGCAAGUCGAGCGGACAGAAGGGAGCUUGCUCCCGGAUGUUAGCGGCGGACGGGUGAGUAACACGUGGGUAACCUGCCUGUAAGACUGGGAUAACUCCGGGAAACCGGAGCUAAUACCGGAUAGUUCCUUGAACCGCAUGGUUCAAGGAUGAAAGACGGUUUCGGCUGUCACUUACAGAUGGACCCGCGGCGCAUUAGCUAGUUGGUGGGGUAAUGGCUCACCAAGGCGACGAUGCGUAGCCGACCUGAGAGGGUGAUCGGCCACACUGGGACUGAGACACGGCCCAGACUCCUACGGGAGGCAGCAGUAGGGAAUCUUCCGCAAUGGACGAAAGUCUGACGGAGCAACGCCGCGUGAGUGAUGAAGGUUUUCGGAUCGUAAAGCUCUGUUGUUAGGGAAGAACAAGUGCGAGAGUAACUGCUCGCACCUGACGGUACCUACCAGAAAGCCACGGCAACGCGUGCCACAGCCCCGGUAA
rnacentral:rRNA from 1 species